UUCGGGUCUUGUUGGUGCGUCCCUCUGUUGAACUCAGAACAAAUGACAAGAAUUGUGAGCAGCUGUAGGGGGCGAUAAGUCUGUGGAUCACAGUGCUCAUUGUAGAGUGAGCCUGAGCUAGGCGGAAUAUAUGCUGAGUGUGGAUGUUGAGAUAGUUUACUAUUAUUGAGUAGACAGUCUUGCAACCUGUUGAGCGUUGUGUAAGAAUACGAUAGAGAGAAUAGGUUUACAGCGUCGUUUUCAUCCAAAUUAUUAUUCUGAGUGCAAUGGCAUGAUAACCGAUGACUGUUGAAGAUAACUCAAGUGCAAAUUUGGUCAGAAAGAUGUCUUCGUCAAGUCGAGUGCUGGUGUUUGCGCUGACAAUGACGCUGUACAUUGUUGAAAUGGCCUCGGCUGAAACGCUGUGUGGCGGAGAGUUAGUGGACGCGCUUCAGUUCGUCUGUGAAGAUAGAGGAUUCUAUUUCAGUAGACCUGGUAGAUCCAGCAAUAGGCGCUCUCAGAACCGAGGGAUUGUGGAGGAGUGCUGCUUCCGCAGCUGCGACCUCAACCUCCUGGAGCAGUACUGUGCCAAACCCGCCAAGUCCGAGAGAGACCUGUCAGCCUCCUCUCUGCAGGUCAUACCCGUGAUGCCCGUCCUCAAACAGGAGGUACCUAGGAAACAGCACGUGUCCUCCAACAACAAGUACAUCCACUUAGACGCGUGGCAGCGGAAGGCGGCCCAGCGCCUUCGGAGGGGCGUGCCUGCCAUACUGCGGACCAGGAAGUUCCGGAGGCAGGCGGAGAAAAUGAAGAUGAUGGCCCAGGAGCAACCGGGAGCUUUCCACCGGCCCCUGAUCAGCCUGCCCAGCAAACUGCCCCCCGCCCUGCGCCCCAUGGACAACUAUAUCAGCAACAAAUGAGACCCACCACCCAUACACACACCUCCCGCCGGUCCCCCCUUCACCCUCACCCUCUUCGCGUGGCCCUUUGCACAGAUAAGAGUUUGGAGGGAGGAGGAAAAACAGACUAGGGGAUUAUAGCUUUGUCUCUGACGUCAUUUCUGUGGCAGUCUUCUUUGACCUUCCCAUCCCCAUCAGAAACCCACCACCCAUCCCGUCUACUACUUCCUGACCCCCCUGCCCUCCUUCCACCCCCCCCCCUUUAGCCCCUGACAGACACUCAAAACAUGCCUUCACAUUCUUCCUGUCUCAACUCUGUGUCUCUUUCUGUCUCUUUCAUUCCCUGACACAAAAGGCAUAAACACAAAUGACGAAUAAAAAGUUAACAAUUAGGCUGAAUGCAAUUCAGGUGGAUCCUUGAGGAAAAGAGAAAAAAACAUAAUGGAAGAAAAGAAGAUGAAAGAGUUCUGUAGCUGACAAGUGGGAAGAGGACAUCCAAUGGAAUGUUUUUUUGUACUGCAGACAAGAAAGUGAAGUGAAGAGAAAGUGAACAACAUCUUGCAUAAAAGAAUCCAUUCCACAACACUUUCCUGAAGCAGAAAAAAAGAAAAAUCUCUAUUAGUAUUUUGUUCUUAUUAGUUUGCACCUCUAUAACUAUAAAGGGACUUCCACACUGUAAGGAAUUACUUUGUAAAAUUAGAUUCCUGUUCCAGCACCUUUUAAUCACAAACAAAAAGCAGAAAAGUGUCUGCAAAAUUGCACAUCGCCACGGAUUACGUCAAAGUAAAGAAAAAAAGGCACUAUUUUUUUAUGAACAAUGAACGUGUAGCUUAAAAAAAUGUCAUGGUGCUAGCUUUGGGAAUGGACUCAAAGAAGAAGAGGUUCAGAAGCACGUUAUUAUUUUUAUUUUUUAAUUAAUAUUGCAACUUUCCGUUUUAUGGAAAGUUGGACUUUUGAGAAGGAGGAUAAAUGAUAAGGGGGACUUCCUGGACAGGGUUUAAAGGGGGAAGUAUGAGUCAGAUUGGCUGGCAGCUGGUGUUGGCCUGCAGACAUGGGAAGGAGCUCCCUGCGGCUCAGGCCGCGCUGGCAGGAGACAGGGAGAAGUGCGGGGACACUUAACGGGAUACCGUGGACUGCCUGGAUUGGGACAGUAAUACACUUCCUGUUCCGGGACAGUGCUUCCUGUUUGCCGUGGCGUUAUAUGACCCUGGACACCUGCUCUGACAGGAAAUAACCUGUCCAAUGGACACAGAGCGAGUGGGAUGACGAUGAUUAUAUUUAGGUUUUUGUCUUAUUUUGGUCUUUCUUUUCUUAUCUAUGUUUUCAAAAAGAAAAAAAGGAAUACCCUGUCCGUUUCUGGUACCAUGACAACCCUGUUUUUGCAAGAUAGGCAUUUCCAUGGUCAUUGUUAUGUUAUUUUACAGUUUUAAUGAAAGGCACAAAUUUCAAUUCAAAGGGAAAAAACAGCAAUAAUGUCAACUAACAUUUUAUGUUAUUGUAUAUCAGUAGUAUUCACAUGCUUUUUGCCUGAAAACAAAUACUUGAAUAUAUAUAUAAAUAUAUAUAAAUAAAUAUAUAGAUAUAUAAUUACUGUCCAGGGACGCCGUGUGGGGUUCCUGUAGUCUGAGCUGUAUCUUGCAUAAUGAGCCGCCAAGCUUUUUUGUUUGUUUGUUGAAAUACAAAUAAGGGCACUGUAUAAAGGCAUUAUUUAUUUUGUUAUAAAAAUAUAUAUGAAAAUUGGUCCAAAUAAUAUACGUAGCACUGAUGCUCAACUGACGGAUUUAUUUUGUAUGAUUUCUUUUUUUCCCCAUUUGACUUGUAAUGCUUUUGUAGAUGCUUUGUACCAAAAAUAUCUCCUCUUUUUCCUUUUUCCCGCUGCCACAGAAAUACUUAAAAAAUAAACAUGUAACAGCAGCAUAGCUUGGA